GAACUACGGGCGGCCGGGUUUUGUCUGUGUAUCGAACACUACCAAGCAACCAAGCACUCGCAGCUUGCUUACAUUAAUGCAGAAUCUUUAAUUUCCCCAAGACGCUUGUGGGGGGUCGGAAAUGGAAGAGAAUCGAACAAAAUUCGUCACGGGUCACAGAAAGAGAAACGUUCAGUCAAGUGGCCAAAAUAAAGGAGAUUUCAACCAGGCCAGAUUGAAGACAUCUCUAAACAAUUACAACGGACAUAUCAGCUGUGAAACCAGAGGACCCUAUGCUCCUGACCCUUGUUAUACCACCAUCAAGAAUGCUUACUGUGCCAGCCCAUGCCCAUGCUUUGUAAAGUCUGAUCACCUGGCUGUACUUCUACACCCAGCGCAUAGGCAGAAACUAAAGACUGCAGCAUCAGUGUGAGGACCAAGAAGGUGAGGCAGGGGAAUGCCUACGGGAAUGCCUACAGGACUGCUUUGAGUACUGGAGAAGUUUUUUCCCUACUGCGGUCACUUUGCUGUACAGUUAACUGCCAGUUAACUGUCGGCUAACUAUUACUUGGAUUGCACUACUUUUGUCUUUCAUCAUCAGAAACAACCGACAACAGUGAAAUGCACUUUUGAUAGAACAAGCUGCAUAUUAACUACUUUACAGUGUUGACAACACUUAAAAAUGCUUAAUUGCUAUGGGACACUUUGAG